rnacentral:misc_RNA from 1 species
CGCCGAACAUCGCGAGCUUCAACUGCGUCAGGAAAUAUUCCAGCAGCGCUGUGUAGAUGAACUUGGAAUUCUCAGGUCCCGCGACCCAGACGAACGGCCACACCAGCACGUUGUAGAUUUGCUUGGCGAAGAAGAAACAGAAGAUGAAUGCGAGCGCGAACGCGAGUAGCGCCUUGAUGAGCCGCGAGCGCAGCUCGAUCAGGUGA